rnacentral:sRNA from 1 species
GUUCUGCCCGGAUGGAAGCUGCGGCCGCGGAGUGAUGGUGGCCUCAGCGAAGAUGGGCCGGGCAGGGACCAUGGCGGUGGCAGCAGAGGUGGCAGGGGCGGGGCGGCUGGCGGUAGAGGAGGCUGUGGUCCUCAGGGGGCUGUAGGUGGAGGUAUGGCUCGGGCCAGCAGCGGGAACGGCAGCGAGGAGGCCUGGGGGGCACUUCGGGCGCCGCAACAGCAGCCCUUCAGAUAUUUCAACACUCCUCUCAGCAUCCUCCACUUCCCCCAUCUCUCCAAGCUGAACUUGGUUCACAGGGUGGGAUUGUGUAUGUGCAUGCAGGAGGUGGGGGUGGACAGUGCCCUGGGCUGGAAUCCCCCUUAGUUCUAAGUGCCUCCUUGCCCGCAGCUUCGAGAGCUGUGCCCAGGAGUGAACAACCAGCCCUAUCUCUGUGAGAGUGGUCACUGCUGCGGGGAGACUGGCUGCUGCACCUACUACUAUGAGCUCUGGUGGUUCUGGCUGCUCUGGACUGUCCUCAUCCUCUUUAGCUGCUGUUGCGCCUUCCGCCACCGACGAGCUAAACUCAGGCUGCAACAACAGCAGCGGCAGCGUGAAAUCAACUUGUUGGCCUAUCAUGGGGCAUGCCAUGGGGCUGGUCCUUUCCCUACCGGUUCACUGCUUGACCUUCGCCUCCUCAG